rnacentral:lncRNA from 1 species
AGUGACAGGUCAUGAAAGAUAAAGCUACAGACCCACUGGAGAUGUGGGCCAGCCGAAGUUUCAACCAGAUGUCGCCAGAGUGGCCAGUCUCCCCCAGGCAAAGCAAAGCAAAGCGAUAGUUCCUGGACAACUCCUUUCGUGGUGGACUUCCUGAGGCCCUCUGCGCCGGCUCCCAGCUCUACAGAGCUUGUUCCUGGGGACCAGUUACUCCAGGCUUUGGAUCUCCCCACCUCAAUAGUUCGCAGGGAAGUUCUCCAUCAUUCCACUGGGGCCAGGCCUUGGGUUCCACUCCAGAAGCCCCGAAGCACCCUUCCUCCUGUCCAGAGUCCUCUCUCCUACCUACUUGGGCUUAGGCUCAGCCCACAUGUGGGCUGGGAGGGGAUGGAAGAGACAGGUGGGCCCCUAGAUGCACUGGCUGGAUUGCAGACAUAUUUAUGCUCCAUUUCUAAUGUCUGGUCCUUCCUGUGGUCCCACUGAUGGGGGAACAGAAAGGAAACAGGAGGGGGCUGGGGUGACAGGCACAGCCCACUAGGCUGCCCUCCUCUGCCUCACCCUCCCUCGCCUGGGCCCCAGCUGAGCCCAUCAUCAGAGGCCUCCAGGAGCUGGGGCCACAGUCUGCGUGGGUCUGCCCCUCCCCUCACCCCAGCCUAGAAGACUCCACCUCUCCCAGGUCCUGGCUGGGAUCCGAAGGCCCCGGGCAAGUGGGGGAAGGGGAGCCACUCCUACUUUCCCAGCAGCUGCUGCUGCCUCUUCCUGUUUUGCUAAAACUUUGGCUCCGGACCCAAGGGGGUGGGGGAAAGUCGCCAGGCGCUCUCGCCCCCCCCCAAAGGUCAAACUCAUCCCCCUGGUCCUCUUAGCUAGUUAUUUAUAGCUCCCCAGGCCCUGGCUGAGGAGCUACAUCUCUCCUCCCCCAAAUGUCAGCAGCUGUGGCCAUUGCCCCAGGGAUGCAGCCAGAUGUGCUGAUCACUCCAGAUGCGCAGUGCCAGGAUUUGGGAGCGCAGGCCAGGCCCUUUCUCCUGGACAUUCCCUGCUGCCUGGUUCAUCCUCCACUCUGAGUCAACAAACCUGAGUCCUGGGGGAUGGGGGGACAUCAGGAAGUUCCCACCUAUUUUCUCCACUCCCAUAGCCUGAUCCCAAGACGGGACAGCUCGGGCUAUAGACCCACGUGGAUGUCUUUGCAUAAAUUAGGACAGGACUCAUUUGGAGACUGGAUUUGUAGAAGUCAGCUGCAGUUCAGAGGGACAGAAGCGUCAGGAUGCUGGAUGCUGUCUUCUUACUAACGUCAGCACGGAGAUCCACUCCUGAGAGUCCAGCGUCCAAAGAGCAGGCUCUGCGAUUCUUUUCUUUGGCUACAUCCUGCUCUCCAGGAGAUGAUGAAUUCCCCAGGGAGAGGACUGCAGCUUCCUUUGCCUCUGUGCCAGGAAGUUGCUCAACAAAUAAGAGAUUAUACGUAAUGAAAAAGAGUUGAAGUCAGUGGUGGUCACGUGUGGGUGGAUCCUUCAAGGUUGUAGCAAGGGGAGAAGUCCAAACCCAUCCUAAAAGACACUCCUGGCAAAGAGAGUGUCAGGACCUCCUCAAACGCUUGCCUAGAGAUUCCAAGGCCUGAGGUAAGUGAUUCCAAAGGGAACCAGUAAGAUCAGAACAAGGUGAGGUCCUACCCUCCAGCCAAUACAGUCCUUGAGGCUACAGAAGGUCCUGCUGCGGCCUGUUGCAAGGCUGAACUCCCGAGCCCACCAGUGGGUGGACCACAGCAUCCCUGCAGGGGCCACUGGAGCACGUAAUUGUGAGCUGGCUACAGAAAGGCAUUUUGCAACUCAGACGAAUUUCUUCUCGCUCAUGAUUAGGGUAUGGCCCAGUGGCUGCCUCCCUGACUGUAAUCUCUGCUGGCACAGGCAUCUCCGGGGCUGGGCAGUGGGGGCUGUGGAAGGAGGGCUGACCUAGAAGCCUGGACGCCGGAGUUCUCUGCCCGCUCCUCGCCAGGGAUUAACCAUGGCAUGGCUGGCAGGGAGACUGGGUUCUCAGUUUCCUCAUCUGUAAAAGGAGUGAUGUGAUUAGAUUAGAGCGGCCCAAACCUAACCACACCUUAGGAUUACCUGGGGAGCUUCAGAUUACUAGGUACUCCCUUCACCCCUUGCAUCUGCUGGGGGCUGUGAGAUGGCCCAGGAAUCUGUUUUUCACAGGCUCUUCUACAUGAUUUUUUUGGGGCCACACCCACAGCCUGUGGAAGUUCUGGGGCCAGGGAUCGAACCUGCGACCCUAGCCACUGCAGUGACAAUGCCGGAUUCUUAACCUGCUGAGCCACAGGGAAACUCCUACAGGAUUUUGACAUAAUGUCAAGUAUGGGGGAUCCUACAGACUAUAAAUAUAAAUAGACUGUAAAUAUAAAUCACUUGCAGCUCUUAGGAGAAAAGAUUCUAGUAAAUGGAAUGGCUGUAACAAGAGGCUUUGGUGCUGUGGGGUUUUAUCAGAGGGCAAAUGGUGGGUAGUUUAUUUCAUCAUCAUCAUCACCAUCAAUUACUAUUUUUUCCAGGCCUUUUUUGGCUGCACCUGCAGCAUGCAAAAGCAUGCGGGGCCAGGGAUCAAACCAGCACCCCCGUGGUGACAACACCAGAUCCUUAACCCGCUGCACCACCAGGGAACCCCUCCAGUUUUAUUGAGAUAUAAUUGACCUACAUCACUGUGUAAGGUGUACAGCGCAAUUUGAUUUACAUACAUCAGGAAAGGGUUAUCAGACUAAGUUUAGUAAAUAUGUAUCAACUCAUAUAGAUACAAAAUUAAAGAAAUGGAAACACCCUUUUCUUCCUGCGAGCAGAGGACUCAGGAUUGAGGCCCUCGCUUACCUCAAGGCUGGAGCCGGGCUGGGAGAGAAGGGAAGGGAGGAAUGGGCCGUCCCUGUAGGUGGGGCCUCUUGGCACGGGGACCUUUCUCUCUCACUCUCCUGGGUGGAGUUUGGCUGCACGGGCUUUGGCACCAGCCUCUGGAGCUGAGAGAGUGUCUUCCCAUCCGUAUUCCUCCCCCACUUCGGUUUCAGCCCAGAGGACAGCCCCCUUCUCCUCCUCCUGCCCUGACUUCCUCCCCAGGCUCCCUCACCAACCUCAUUCCUAAGCCUCGCUAAUCUGUUUGCCACCCUCUGCUUCCUUGCCUCGCCCUUGCUCAUGCCAUUCUCUCCACCUGGAAUGUCACCCCCGCCCCCCAACACCGAUUCACAUUUCUGGGCUCCUUCGAAACCCAGCUCCAGACUGGCUGACGUCGUUGGAGCUGUGAUCUGCCCAGGUCGCUCCUCUUCACGAUAGACUCAUUUAUGCUUGAAAUCACAGAAUCAGAGAACAGCUUUAGACUCAGAAAGAAAUAAGUACAGAUGACCUAAACCAGCUCUCGCAUUCAAUGGACAGAAACCCUGAGGCCCAGAGAGGUCUUGACUCGGCCAAGGUCACACAGUCGUGAGGUUUGCUGGUGGUGGUGGUGGCGGCGAACAGUUGGCUUCACAAGAGGCUUUCAAGUAUCCUACGUCUUUGUUUUAUUUCCUCGACACGUGGUGAUGCCUAUGAGGGCAGAGGUGAUGUUGCUGUUUUAAUUGGUGUUCUUAAGCUCCACGGUGCUGUGUAUGUGCAGGCAACUGUAAUAGUUCUAAAACUCGCAGGGGUGCACAUUUUGCAUAUGAUCUCAGACCAGCCCUGAGCGGUAGGUCACCAAGGCAUUGCUAUCUUACUGAGCAGGAAACUGAGACUUAGAAAGGUGUGACCCAGGAAGUUAAUGGCAGAACCGGGGCCAAAACGCAAGUUCCCUGCCUCCCAGCCUCAGCCCAGGACCCUGACACCCAUGAUGCUGUUCUUCUAGAGCCUUCCUGAGGUUCCCGGCAGGGGACCUAGAGUAGUCAAAGGGGUGGCCUCCGCCGUCUUUCGCCUUCCUUGUGAUUUCUUCACUUUGGGGUUGAGCAGACCUUGCCUCUGGCCUCCUACCCCUCCCCAUCCUGUCCCACCGCGUUCUCCUUGUGUCCCCCCACAGCCUGUUGGCACAUUGACCCAUACGCAUACAUGCUCAGAGCUGCAGGUGUCUAGGGCAACAGACCACAGGGGAAACCACAUCACCUUUGUUGACACUGGAGGGAGGCAGGGGGGCCGGGAAAGAACCUGCUUACGUCUCUCCACCUGCCUCUGUCCCCGCAGUCAUCUCACCUCCCAGCCUGGUGGGUCAUCUGGACUUGACCCAUGGCCCAGCCUCUUCCUGAGGACCCAUCCAAACCUGGCCCGGGAGGAUGUAUCGCCCCUUCUCACAGAUCCUGAAAUCCUGGAGGGAGGUGGGGCGGUCUGCCUAGCUGCACCCCAAAGCCACACCCCCAAUCCUAGCCAGUUUACUGACCUAGCUCCUCUGAUUCCACCUGCGCAGUGCAGCAGACAAAGGUGGAAACCAGGAAUGAGAGGACAUGGCUGGGGGUCGGUAAGGAAGGAAAUUUGACAUCUAGGCCAUCACUCCUACAUCAAAGGGGACCGCUAGGGAGUUCCUGUCGUGGCUCAGCGGUUAAUGAACCCAACUGGCAUCCAUGAGGACGCAGGUUCGGUCCCUGGCCUCGCUCUGUGGGUUAAGGAUCAGGUGUUGCCGUGAGCUGUGGUUUAGGCCGGUGGCUACAGCUCCAAUUAGACCCCUAGUCUGGGAACCUCCACACGCCGCAGGUGCGGCCCUAAAAAGACAAAAAGACACCAAAAAAAGGUGGAGGGGGGACCUCUAGUAACCAGGCUACACGGGAUCUGUGGUGUUUGGACCUGCUGAAAGAAGCUGCACAGGCUCUGAAUCAGGCCCAUUUGGGAUUAAGUCACUUGCUGGCUCUGUGGCCUUGGGCAAAUCAUUUUGUGUUUCUGAGCUUUAGUUUGCUAACUAAAACAAUGGGGAUAAUAAUGAGAUAUAAGUGAAAGGUCCUGGAACAGCACAGGAUACCAAGGAGACGCUCAAUAAAUCCUAAUUACCCUCCCUCCCUCCUUUCCUUCCACUUGUUGCAUCUGGCUCCAUGAAACCCUUUAUUUGGAAUUGGAGCUCUACCUCCCCUAUUUACGUGCAAGUCCAAACCCUGAGCAUUGGCAUCUGAUCCCAGGUUCAGAAACAGGAAUGCACAUCCCCACAGCCCAAGGAAGUGGCUGUCCCUCGGAGAGUGCACCCAGGCCAAGGACGAACACCUUCUGAUCGGCCUUGUGGAGAGGGUGUGAGAAGUCCAGGUUAGGAAAGGGCUUGUGGCUUCAGACACCACAUCGAGAAAGCGGGUCAGGAAUGGUCUCAGAGGCCUGCGGUUUAGACCGAUGCCUUCGGAUGGAGCUUUGAACCCUGGCACAAGGUGGGCGCCCAAUAACACUUGUUGAAUGAACGCAUGGCCUCAGCACUUACUAGUUGUGUAACGUUGGUCAUGUUUCUCAACUUUUAUGAGUCGCACUUUAAUCACAAACAUAACAAGGAUUACUGCUAAGAAUAAAUGAUCUCAUGUUUGCCAGGGGGCUGGCAUAGGGCUGCUGCAUGGCACACAGUCAGUAAAUGGUAGCUAAGUAAGGGGAUGUGAGAUAAACGAGAAAGAGAAGGUCAAAGAGGCUCAGAACCCCAAAGCAAGCGGAAGGUGGCUGCCUUCAGGCUUCGUACUGGCCAGAGACUCCAAGAAGACUCUGGGGAGCCAAGGCAGGUCCUGUGGGGCUAAUCUCUUCUGCUAGGUGCUUAGCUGAGCAGUCUGUGAGAGGCCUGGACUCAAGAGCCUUAAAAAAAAAAAAAAAAAAAAAAAAAAAAAA